rnacentral:rRNA from 1 species
UACGGAGGAUCCGAGCGUUAUCCGGAUUUAUUGGGUUUAAAGGGUGCGCAGGCGGGAUGUUAAGUCGGCGGUGAAAUUUUGCAGCUCAACUGUAAAAGUGCCUUCGAUACUGGCUUUCUUGAGUGUGGAUGAAGUAGGCGGAAUUUGUGGUGUAGCGGUGAAAUGCUUAGAUAUCACGAGGAACUCCGAUUGCGCAGGCAGCUUACUAAACCACUACUGACGCUCAUGCACGAAGGCGUGGGGAUCAAACAGGAUUAGAUACCCCGGUA